UACAGGUCUCAAGCGUUGUUCGGAUUCAUUGGGCGUAAAGGGUGCGUAGGUGGCGCGCUAAGUCAGGUGUGAAAUUUCGGAGCUUAACUCCGAAACUGCAUUUGAUACUGGCGUGCUUGAGGACUGGAGAGGAGACUGGAAUUCAUGGUGUAGCAGUGAAAUGCGUAGAGAUCAUGAGGAACACCGAUGGCGAAGGCAGGUCUCUGGGCCACUACUGACGCUGAGAAGCGAAAGCAUGGGGAGCGAACAGG
rnacentral:rRNA from 1 species